CAUCUUCCCCAAAUUUUCAAAAAAGUCUUUGGUUGAAGGUUUUAAAAAAAUUUCAUCACUCUCUUAUGAAAUCAGCUCCUAAAGAUAAGAAUUCGGUUUAAUUUCAAUCCAAAAAAUUAAUUUGAAGUCAUUCAAGGCUCACAAAGUGAAGGAAUAUCUUGCAGAUCCUAGCAAGUUUGCCGUUGUUGCUGCUGCUGCUAAGGAGGAGGAGAUGGAUGAGCCUGCUGAGGAGUCAGAUGAUGACAUGGGUUUCAGCUUGUUUGAUUAAGUCUAUUAUUUGUGAUUUAUCACUUUUUUUAUUUCAAAAAUAUAUUUCUCCUCUUAUGUUU